rnacentral:rRNA from 1 species
GAUGAACGCUAGCUACAGGCUUAACACAUGCAAGUCGAGGGGCAGCAUGGUCUUAGCUUGCUAAGGCCGAUGGCGACCGGCGCACGGGUGAGUAACACGUAUCCAACCUGCCGUCUACUCUUGGACAGCCUUCUGAAAGGAAGAUUAAUACAAGAUGGCAUCAUGAGUCCGCAUGUUCACAUGAUUAAAGGUAUUCCGGUAGACGAUGGGGAUGCGUUCCAUUAGAUAGUAGGCGGGGUAACGGCCCACCUAGUCUUCGAUGGAUAGGGGUUCGGGGAGGGAGGGCCCCCGCAUUGGACCUGAGACACUGUCAAAACUCCUCCGGGAGGCAGCAGUGGGGAGUAAUGGGCGAGGGGCGCAGGCCUGAACCCGCAAAGUAGAGUGAAGGAUGACGGCCCUAUGGGUUGUACACUUCUUUUAUAAAGGAAUAAAGUCGGGUAUGUAUACCCGUUUGCAUGUACUGUAAGAAUAAGGAUCGGCUAACUCCGU